rnacentral:rRNA from 1 species
CCUACGGGAGGCAGCAGUGGGGAAUUUUGGACAAUGGGCGCAAGCCUGAUCCAGCAAUGCCGCGUGCAGGAUGAAGGCCUUCGGGUUGUAAACUGCUUUUGUACGGAACGAAAAAGUCUACCUUAAUACGGUGGGCUCAUGACGGUACCGUAAGAAUAAGCACCGGCUAACUACGUGCCAGCAGCCGCGGUAAUACGUAGGGUGCGAGCGUUAAUCGGAAUUACUGGGCGUAAAGCGUGCGCAGGCGGUUAUAUAAGACAGAUGUGAAAUCCCCGGGCUCAACCUGGGACCUGCAUUUGUGACUGUAUAGCUAGAGUACGGUAGAGGGGGAUGGAAUUCCGCGUGUAGCAGUGAAAUGCGUAGAUAUGCGGAGGAACACCGAUGGCGAAGGCAAUCCCCUGGACCUGUACUGACGCUCAUGCACGAAAGCGUGGGGAGCAAACAGGAUUAGAUACCCUGGUAGUCCACGCCCUAAACGAUGUCAACUGGUUGUUGGGUCUUCACUGACUCAGUAACGAAGCUAACGCGUGAAGUUGACCGCCUGGGGAGGUACGGCCGCGAGUAGAACGUACGAAGAGUAGUAGACGNGAGAGAGACGACGACGGACGACGACGGAGGGAGG